GUGGGGAAUCUUGCGCAAUGGGCGAAAGCCUGACGCAGCCAUGCCGCGUGAAUGAUGAAGGUCUUAGGAUUGUAAAAUUCUUUCACCGGGGACGAUAAUGACGGUACCCGGAGAAGAAGCUCCGGCUAACUUCGUGCCAGCAGCCGCGGUAAUACGAAGGGGGCUAGCGUUGCUCGGAAUUACUGGGCGUAAAGGGCGCGUAGGCGGACAGCUUAGUCAGAGGUGAAAGCCCAGGGCUCAACCUUGGAAUUGCCUUUGAUACUGGCUGUCUUGAGUUUGGGAGAGGUGAGUGGAACUCCGAGUGUAGAGGUGAAAUUCGUAGAUAUUCGGAAGAACACCAGUGGCGAAGGCGACUCACUGGCCCAAUACUGACGCUGAGGCGCGAAAGCGUGGGGAGCAAACAGGAUUAGAUACCCCGGUAGUCA
rnacentral:rRNA from 1 species